rnacentral:rRNA from 1 species
GGUUCGAUUAUGGCUCCAGAUUGAACGCUGGCGGGAUGCUUUGCAUGCAAGUCCCGAACGGCGGCACGGACUUAUCGGUCUGGUGGCGAGUGGCGAACGGGUGAGUAAUGUAUCGGAACGUGCCUAGUAGCGGGGGAUAACUACGCGAAAGCGUAGCUAAUACCGCAUACCCUUCGGGGGAAAGCAGGGGACCUUCGGGCCUCGCACUAUUAGAGCGGCCGAUAUCGGAUUAGCUAGUUGGUGGGAUAACGGCUCACCAAGGCGACGAUCCAUGGCUGGUUUGAGAGGACGACCAGCCACGCAAGGACUGGAGAUUACGGCCCGAAUCUACGGGAGGCAGCAGUGGGGAAUUUUGGACAAUGAAACCUGAUCAGCAUCAUCCGUGAUGUGCGAUGAAGGCCUUCGGAGUUGUAAGCACUUUUGGCGAAACGGCACGGGAUAUGCAGUGCAACUGACGGUACCUGCCAGGAAUAAGCACCGGCUACUUCGUGCAGCGGCGGUAAUACGUAGGGUGCAAGCGUUAAUCGGAAUUGCUGGGCGUAAAAACAUUGCGCAGGCGGUUCGGAAAGAAAGAUGUAAAUCCCAGAGCUUAACUUUUGGAACUGCAUUUUUAACAAACUAGAAGUGUCAGAGGGAGGUGGAAUUCCCGCGUGUAGCAGUGAAAUGCGUAGAUAUGCGGAGAAGGAACACCGAUGGCAGCUUGACCUCGCAGGAUAACGGCGCUCAUCACACGAAAGCGUGGGAGCAAACAGGAUUAGAUACCCUGGUAGUCCCCGCCUAAACGAUGUCAACUAGCUGUUGGGGCCUUCGGGCCUUGUGCGGCGCAACUAACGCGUGAAGUUGACCGCCUGGGGGGUACGGUCGCAAAGAUUAAAACUCAAGGAAUUGACAGGGACGCACAAGCGGUGGAUGAUGUGGAUUAAUUCGAUGCAACGCGAAAAACCUUACCUACCCUUGACAUGUCCGGAAUCCCGAAGAGAUUUGGGAGUGCUCGCAAGAGAACCGGAACACAGGUGCUGCAUAGCUGUCGUCAGCUCGUGUCGUGAGAUGUUGGGUUAAGUCCCGCAACAAACUACAACCUGUCAUUUAGUUUUGCUACGAAGGGCACUCUAAUGGGGACUGCCGGUGACAAACCGGAGGAAGGUCGAGGUUGACGUCAAGUCCUCAUGGCCCUUGUAGGUAGGGCUUCACACGUCAUACAAUGGUCGGGACAGAGGGUCGCCAGCCCGCGAGAGGCCAAUCCCGAAACCCGAUCGUAGUCCGGAUCGCAGUCUGCAACUCGACUGCGUGAAGUCGGAAUCGCUAGUAAUCGCGAGAUCAGCAUGUCGCGGUGAAUACGUUCCCGGGUCGUACACACCGCCUUCCGUCACACCAUGGGGUAGGUUUUUGCAGAAGUGGUUAGCCUAACCGUAAGGAGGGCGAUUACCACGGUAGGAUUCAUGACUGGGGUGAAGUCGUAACAAGGUAG